rnacentral:pre_miRNA from 1 species
AAUGGAAUGGUUGGAUUGCAUGGUCGAUGUGUAUUUUACUUUUUAAGAAACUGUCAAACUGUUUUCCAAAGUGGUUGUACCAUUUUACACUCCCAGCAGCCAC